GAGGUAGAGGCGCGAUAUUUAUUAGUUUUUAGUCGAGUUAGAGAAAACGAUGAAGCUAAAAAGAAGGAAAUGUCGCCGAAGCUUAAAAUGGAUCUCACCAUUUUUUGCUGGGUCUGCAAUUAAUAAUUGCAGGACUGUCUCAUUUAAGUA
rnacentral:ncRNA from 1 species